rnacentral:rRNA from 1 species
GCACAAGCGGUGGAGCAUGUGGUUCAAUUCGAAGCAACGCGCAGAACCUUACCAGCCCUUGACAUCCCGGUCGCGGAGAGCAGAGACGCACUCCUUCAGUUCGGCUGGACCGGAGACAGGUGCUGCAUGGCUGUCGUCAGCUCGUGUCGUGAGAUGUUGGGUUAAGUCCCGCGACGAGCGCAACCCUCGCCCUUAGUUGCCAUCAUUCAGUUGGGCACUCUAAGGGGACUGCCGGUGAUAAGCCGGAGGAAGGUGGGGAUGACGUCAAGUCCUCAUGGCCCUUACGGGCUGGGCUACACACGUGCUACAAUGGCGGUGACAGAGGGAUGCAAAGGGGCGACCCUUCGCAAAUCUCAAAAAGCCGUCUCAGUUCGGAUUGGGGUCUGCAACUCGAGCCCAUGAAGUUGGAAUCGCUAGUAAUCGUGGAUCAGCAUGCCACGGUGAAUACGUUCCCGGGC